UACAGAGGUCUCAAGCGUUGUUCGGAUUCAUUGGGCGUAAAGGGUGCGUAGGUGGCGGGGUAAGUCAGGUGUGAAAUCUCGGGGCUCAACCCCGAAACUGCACUUGAUACUGCCUUGCUCGAGUACUGGAGAGGAGAUUGGAAUUUACGGUGUAGCAGUGAAAUGCGUAGAUAUCGUAAGGAAGACCAGUGGCGAAGGCGAAUCUCUGGACAGUUACUGACGCUGAUGCACGAAGGCCAGGGGAGCAAACGGG
rnacentral:rRNA from 1 species